ensembl:lncRNA
UCGGGGUGGGCCUCGUCCACCCCAGGUUGCUCUGCCACCAAGGAGUUGUUUAACUGCCUCAGUGACCUCGCCCCCAGAGGUUGGCGAGUCAUCCCCUUCGUCCCCAGACUCUGCUUCCUCCACAGAAAACGUGCCAGUGGGAUUGAGGAGGUCCUCGAAGUAUUCCUUCCACCGCCUGACAAUUUUCUCAGUCGAAGUCAGCAGCGCUCCACCCGCACUAUACACAGUGCUGGUAGAACACCGCUUUCUGCUUGUGAGACGCCUGACGGUUUGCCAGAAUCUCUUCGAGGCAGUCCGAAAGUCUUUUUCCAUGGCCUCUCCGAACUCCUCCCACACCCAAGUUUUUGCUUCAGCCACCGCCCGCGCCGCAUUCCACUUGGCCUACCCCAGCCAUGCACAAGUCAUCGGGAUCCUUGGCAGCAACAUCACCCUUCAAUUUACAUUCAACGUUAGCAUUACUGAAAACAGUCAAAUUGGAAUUUAUACAACAGACGAGAAAAAGAUUGAUGAUUUUAAAAGUGGGAAAAGUUCCUUUGAUAUUUACCCCCAAAAGAAUUCUGUAUUUUACCACAUCACAAAUCUCACUCUAAGCCACAGUAACACCUACUGGGCCAGUUUACUUGGUGUCAUCCCAAUAAAAAGUAAUGAAGUGCAGCUGUUCAUUGAAGAGAAGAAUACACACAGUACAGCCACUGAAACACCCGCUGAGCCUCCACAGUACAAUAGUAAUGCCAUCAUCACUGUUAUCCGUGUCUUCGCCUUCAUCACAUCUUUGGCCUUGGUUGUGGGAGUCUGCAAGAUCUACCAUCUGAAAUGCAUCAAGUCCAGAAACUAAACAGCCACAGAUGGUUAACAGAAGAAAGACGAGACUGAUGGAGCAGAUCCGUGUGUCGUAUACUUUCACACUGGCAUCAAGUUCAUAAAUAACAUAAUGAUUUAUCUGACACAUCUUAAAGAUCUUUUUUUUUCCCUUUUCAGUUUUUUUUUUAAAUGCUUUUUAUAAGCAGAAAAAAAUAAAUACUAGCUUCUAUUAAAUAAAAGCAAAAGUAAACAUGGAAGUGUUGCAGAGGGUCUAAAUACCUUUAGAUGAAAUGAUUUGUUAACAUUUUAUUUUUGGGCUUUUACAUUUGAAACUAUUCUGUAGAAAACCUUCAAUGCAGUGGAUGACAUCAGAG